AGCAUUACCUUGGUUCUGUCCAGCUACGUGGCACUUGCCUAUAUUUAAGUGUCGGUGCAAGAAAGUUGGGACACCCUGUAUAUACUGGGUGUUCAAAAUUAUAGGCUUUACGAAAAUUUUUAAAAAUCGCUUGUAGCAGGUAGCAUAAUUCUUAUCACUUAGCUUGGUUAUUCGAAGAAACGGACAUUAGUAACACAAGAAAUUGAAACUAAUAUUCUAAUAAUUAACAAAAAAUGACUAAUGAACUUCUUAGUUAAUUAUUUUACGACACAUAUUGCAAUAUAUGAAUUGUAGCCGGUGAGUUUGCAAGACGCAUCCACCUAAAAUGAAUUUCCAGUAUAACACCAGUUUCGAGAUAUUAUUGCCCAAAGUGUGGGACGAAAUACAAGGGCGUUUUAGUUACUUUUGCGCUUCAAUGUAUAAAACAGCAUUUUGGUAACAAAGUAAGUGUAACAACAGUGCAUUUUUACGGCGAGUUUGAUGGCGCAUAUCUCCAAACUGGUGUCAUUCUGGAAAUUCAUUCCAAGUGGAUACGCCUGACAAGCUCACCGGCUCAAAUUCGUAAAUCGCAAUAUGUGUCGUAAAGUAAUAAAAUAAGAAGUUAAUUAGUGAUUUCUUCUUAAUUAGUUGAAUGUAUGUUUCGAUUGCUCGUGCUACUAAUGUCCGCCUCAUCGAUUAACCCAGCUCAAUGAUAAGAAUUAUGCUACCUGCCACAGGCGAUUUCUAAAAAUUCCGUAAGACUUAAAAAUGACCACCCUGUAUGUAUAUAUAUAUAUAUAUAUAUAUAUAUAUAUAUAUAUAGACACAAAAUUGGAGCACAAGACAAACGUCCCAACAAGCAGUGACCAAUGACCGAUGAUUGGGCACCUCCUGGAUUCCCAUCGACUUCUAUUGUAAGUGGCCAGUGCCCUGUCUGUGUCAGAAAACGGCAUUGCCUCCAUGUUAAAUAUGGGCAAGAUGGUGGGAAAAGUAGUAUGUAAGCAUAAUAAAUAAAUAUGUUUUUUCAAAGAGUGCGUUUUGUUUAGUUGUUAGCCCUUAGCGCACAAUAAAAUGAAACAAGUUUGGGUGAUCUCUGCGACGUGGUGUCCAUAUUUUACAUGAAAGCCUAGGUCUAUUCUGUAACACGUAGAGACGGGGUGCUGGCCAGUGUGCUGGGAAACUGCUUGGCCACCACGCACAAUCUACGCUGUUAUACUUUGCCGGUAGCAAAUCGUAGCGCAGAAGCACAGGUACAAAUGUUUAAUCAAUGGGACGGCAUGCUGUCUACCGUUCGUCAUGAUGUCAAACUAACAAGCACGAACAGCGACAAUUGUGUACGUUGCUGGUCCGUAGUUCAUUUCGCGCCGGUUGCUUCACGUAUUAAAAUAAAUAUUUCUUUUUAAUACAAACGAUUAAAACUGUGCGCGCACACAGGGCGCGACAUUUGCGACGUUUGAAUUUUGCACUAUUUCCCGCGCGCUCCGUACGUGACCGGCCGGCGCACUGCGUUACCGCGAUAAAGAAAAUAGUUCCUCAAGGAAGCUAAGCAGAAAAUUUUCACACUCUUGCAAACCACAGAAAUUGUUAAGAAAUACCAUUAUAUUACAAGAUUUGUUAAUAAAUAUGGCAAUUCAUAUCUAUGAAAGCGUGGAUUUGUAUGCGCGUUUUUGUGUGAUUGCGCGCUUGUGCUGUUGACUCUUUGGCGGAUUCCAGAACUUUGUGCGUGCGGCGUAUGUGUGCGGGUUGCGUGAUGAGUUUGCUGCGUUUUCUGUGCCCUUUGCCUCGCUGUGACAUCUUUGGUAUAUUACAACUUAUUGCUCGGUCUUAAUGGGCUACACGUUGCCUCGAAGAUCACCAUGAUCGCCUCCGACUCAGCCACAUCGAAGAAUCAAAAUGAGCCUGGAGACGCCACAGCCGGAAUGCGAAAGGUUGGAGAGGUGCUCAUUCAGAUGAUCCUGGCACAGCUUGCCAUGGUGGACCAGGCAAGUUUGCAAGGGCCUUGAUUCACCAUGUGUUCACUGAGGAGAACCUCAUGGGCCACUUACUUCUCGGAAACACCACCACCAAUAGGCAAAAAGAGGCUCUUGGCCUUAUCAGGGUCAACGCUGUUAUAGGCAAGUACCGUACAUCCUUUUACCCAUUGCAUUUUUGCCUUCACAUUUUGUACUUGGAAUUACCAGCUUGCUAUUAGCACAACAAAUGACUUUCAAGUAGCCUGUGUCUGCAACUACGUGCUACAAUAGCCUACUAUUUGGAAUGAAUGUUCAUUUGAUCUCAAGUCUCUAACGCCUCCAUACUAAAGUGCUAAAUUUUAAAAGCAGCCUUAACUGCCAGAAGUGAUUGGUGGCUUCAACUGACAAAGUUAGGUGUAUUUGCGCAUUAGUUGCACUACUUGACUGUCAUUGCAAUGAACAGUUGGAAUGAAGCAACUACCAAUCUGUAGUACCACUCUGUGAAGCUUGCUACCAAUCUGGUGCUAUAGCGGGUGUGCUUAAGUAGCCUGAAAGUGUUGUUAUAAUAUAGGAAUUGUGGAGAAGCUAUGCUCAAGUGCAGUUACUGCUCAACUCGAGGGACAGCACUUCCACCAAAUUUCAGCAAUCAAUAUGGCCCUCCAGAUUCUGUAACGCAAAACAUAGUGAUUUCACCUAUUUCAACAGACCACAUUGAAUUAAAGUUGCUCCUGUCUUGAAGGAGGUCCAUGUGGUGGCAGACAGUAGCCUUUAAGCAGAGGGAGCUUAAGUUACGGGGCAUAAUUGUUUGGUUGUUUCGAUCAAAGCACCAAUAGGAACAGUUGCCAAAUUCGUUGUCAACAUUGCUAUGUUUAGCAAUGUCCAUUCAUUCUAGGCACUCAACCAAUUAAGAUCCAAUUUAUCACAUUGUAUUCUAGGAUGUGGAAAAAACAAAGGUAUUUAUUUGACUUUUCCUCACGUUCCCAUAAAAUGAUCAGUACUCAAUAGGCCCUUGGCAGCUACUAUAUAAAGCUUCUUACAGAACAUGAGGCAUGUCCACAGCUCCCACUCUGAAAUUGUUGGAAAUGUCUCCUGCUUUCUUACUUCAAGGACGCACUUGCCUGUUUUCAGCGUUAUUAUAAACCAGUGCUCAAGUACUAUGGGUUUAGAUUUAUCAAAGAUUGAAUGAGCUUUGUAGGUGUUCAUGUUUAACCCUUUGAGGAUCACAUAUUUUCCGGCAAACGUCCCCCAAUUUAAGCGUUAUAUUUUUAUUCUGGAUUGUUCUUUAGUGACCUUUCCAGAAAAAAAAUGGGUAAAUAAUUUUUUAGGUCACAAAGUGACAAAGGUUUCUUAGUGUCCGCUGUUUUACACCAUGUUUAUUGUAGCAUGCAGGGCAAACUAGCAUAAUCACAUUUUUUAAAUGUAAUGACACUCACAAAACAUUAAACUAGGUGAAUACUCCCAAACUACUGCAGUGAUGGGCACCAUAGAAUAAAGAGAAAGAUCAGUUUUGGAAGAAGCCAAGGGGCAACAGCACAAUCAGGAUUUUUGUAGAAGUCGCAGAAGGUUACAGAAUCUGUAAUGUGAUGCUUGGGGACACUUCAUUCUUAAAAGGUAUGCUUAUUUAUAUGUUCUUUCGCCGCCUCAUAUUUAUGGUCGUGACCACACGAUUUGUUUCCACCACUCUACAUGCAUGGCAGUGACCCUCAAAGGAUUAGCAGAGCCAGUCCACUUGCAUAUUUCUCUUGUAAGACUGAGCAUUUCUUCGUAUUUCUUCUUCGCAUUUAUUUGUGUUAGUGUAACCAGGUCGGCGUGCAACUGCAGUAAAUCCUCGUUAUAAGCAGUAUUUUGUUUUCAGUAGAGAGGCAUAAGAAUGGUCAUCACGAUGCGAGAAGUGCACUCCAGUAGCAUAUGAGCUUGUAAAACAAAUUCAGAUAUACCACACUCAAUUCUGGCCGCAUAACCGUAUUUGGAGCAACUCCUGCAAGGAAAAGUUCAAUAAAGUGCUGCACAUUUUGAUUAUGAUUGUUGAGAGAACUAAUUUUAGUUGCCAGUAGUCUACCUUUAAGUUUUUUCACCAACAGUAUGAAGUCUUUUUUCCACCAUUUUGUCCUAAGCAAGCAACGUUCACAUUUUCACAUCAAGGAUAUUCAUGAAGUUAUUCUGCCACAGUGGGCUUUUCCUGUUUGCCUUCUGCAUAUUGUACUAAGUGGAGUCCUCCGGUGCCACUCCACUUUGAAAGCUGGUCAUUCUCUAGAAUUGAACUCGUGAAAACUUGGAAUAAACAAAACAAAUGAAACAGUUUCAUUAUAACAGGGUGUACUGUAUGUCGCACUUUUGCAUGUGGAACAUUGAUCUUUAACGUCAUGCUGUUUUUCCUUUUUUUACAGGCUUUCCCUGUCGCAAGUUUCCUGGGACAAACAUGACCUACAUUAAGAACACUCUGGCCUCACUUCUCGCAAGGGACCUGAAGUGUCCAGAAGAGCUCAAGUCUGUGGACAGUUCAAGUGUUGUGCACUUGCAGCCCUCAACAUUUUUUUUAUUAUUAUGAUGUUUCUAGUCACCUGAAAAGCCCAGGUUGGAUGGUUCAGACACAAGUACUGUGUUGUGAUUAAUAAUGAAUUGCACAAGUGUUGCGCUUUGUACUUUAGUACAUUUUUACGUAAAUCUUUAAUAUAUUUCUACAAAAGCUAGUGUUUCUUGACUAUUUUAUUUCAUAGGUAUCUCGGGUCAUUUCAUGCCAAGACUGUUCCAUGACGGCACACCAUUUCAAGUUUGUUUGAUGAAGUAAAAGUAGGCCCAGUGAGAAAUUUUGCAGAAAAUUAGGUUUCAUACGUACACCGGAAAGUGUAAUCUGUGCUAUUGUCAGAGUGGUUCUGUUUAAGGAAAACUACAUAUUAACAUUUGUUUGUAGUAAUGGUUUAUUUUGCUAUUUCAAAACAGUAAGAAUUAAGUGUUAAAGUUUGCGUAAAUUCAGAGUGCAACAACAGUUCUCGGGCAAGGCAGCGAUGUGCUUUCUUUCAUGUAUGCAUGAAAUCUGAUUUCUUGCAAAUUCUUUCAUUCUAACUUGUUUUGCGGCACUCAAAAAUUUAAAAAAAUUUCCUCAUGCCAGUUCCAUUUAAGUCUUCCAGCAGGUAACUAAUGGCCACUGUAUCAGAUAAAAAUCUUAAGUAGUCAAAGUGAAUAAAUCGCUUGGUAUGUAAUGACCUGUCCAGGAACCUAGUAAUCAUGGCAGAAAACGCAACUGGAUCGUGCAACAAGCAAUGCAGCACAAUAAACUGCUCCCAUGGCACAAGUUAUUGUAAUUACCAUGUCGUUUCAGAGGUAGAUAACGUUUAGUAAAAUGGGCACACCAUUUAACCAAUAAAUAAGAGUCUCAGUGGGCUCAUGCAGAUUGUGCCAUGAUUAUUAAGUUACUGGCUACCAAAUAGAGAAAUCAAGUACAUUUUAAAUGGUAUUUACUGUAAUGCUUGUAUAAUAUUUAUUUUCUAUUUAUUUCAAUUUUGAGAAAUGUUUUACUUUAGGGCCACGCAAACUUUACAUCUCUCAGUAUUCAAUUUCGUUAUUGUAUCAAGCUGCUGGCAGUUUGUAGAUUGCGUUAGGAAUUUUUUGAUCUCAAGGCACACAUGGCUGUACAGUUAACAAAUGUUUGGCUUCAAUAAACAAUUCAGCUAGAAAAAAAUGCUUUUUGUCCACAUCAAUAUUGAGCUGUUGAUUUUGUGAAGGAGUAUUGAUUUUGUGUGUUAAGCCAAUUCGAAAACUGGCUUAAUGGUUCUGCUAGCAGCUCUAUAAUAUGUUUUAUAACAGGCUAUAUCUAAAAGUGGUUUUGAUCCCUGGGUGACCCAGGUCUUCAAUACAGAAGUGCCUGAGUUUGCCCCUGUCCUCUAGUAUGCAAGGACCACAUCAAUAUGGAUGGCAUCAAUGGUAAUGCCAUGAGACUCAACGUAGCUCAGCGGUAUUUAAAGAAAAGUCUAGUGCAGUUUUCAACACUAUUCACCAAACAGCAUAUUUCAGUGGGCUCUCAAGUGAUUUCAAUAGUGACGUUCAGCACUGCUCCAAUAAUAUUUAAAUGGUGUUGCAUGAUUGACUAACAUUGCACGUUGGGCUUGUUGGUAUAAUAUAAUGGAGGCAAAAGGCAUAGUG